UCCGUAGGUGGACCUGCGGAAGGAUCAUU
rnacentral:rRNA from 1 species